CUCUGCGUUUCUGUCUUCCAGCCUCCGACAUCCCGCACUCUGCUUCACCCAUGGAGAAUCAUUGCUGCUUUUUCCCAGCGUGCCCACUUCAGUGCCUGUAAAGUACAUGCUCCAGGUUGACAAAGAUUCUAGAUGGAUCCUUUCCAAAUUUGGUGUCUUUUCUACAAACUCUGUGCCUCAACGUCCAUUUCUAAGUGAGACGAAGCCAUUUAUUUGAAUCUGGGCAAUUAACCUCUAAAUGCUGAAUUCUCCAGACUGCUUGAGAGUCAUGCAGAAUUAGAUGCUCCAUGUCACUACCGAGAACUUAGUCUGGAGUGGCACCACGCGCUUCCACUACAGUUGUGCGUCACCGCGAGACUGCAUGGUAAUGAAGCCAAGGCACUGUGGGCCAGAACUCUGCCGCCUGUGAGAGGCAAGGGGACAGCGGCUGGGAUCCAGAGUCACAGAAUUGUUGCUGCCACUACUGCGGCCGCUGCUGCUGCUGCCACCGCUGCCACUGCUCCUGCAGCCAGCCAAGACACAAUGUUGAGUCUACAGGAUUCUGUGUUUUUUGAAAUUAGCAUAAAGUCCUUGUUGAAGUCCUGGAGCUGCAGCUGUGAGUAUAAAUGCCUGCCUGGGGGAUGCUGAGUUGUGCAUAUUCUCGCCAUUCCUUGCAUGCCUUCUCUCCAGACCCAUCCCGAUCGAAUCAGAGCCUUGAAAGUGCAGUGGAGAGUGUGCUCUCCAGUGGCCAUCAGUCAGAUGAGAAUCUUGAGGUGCACACGUGAGGUAGUUACAUUUUCUUUGACUGACAUUUGCCAGCCUCGGGUUUGUUGUUAAGUGUGUGAUUCCGGCAAAGUUUCUUGGAAUCCAUCAAAAAUGGGGGAAGAUGACAAGUCAGCUGUGAUUCCUGCAGGGUCGUCGGUUCCAGCGCCAGUUCCACAGGGUGUGUGUAGCAGCAUCUUCAGGCAGUAGGCAGUUUCACAGGGUGGCAGUAACUUUCCCCUGCUAUAACUGAAGUAGCAACGGCUGGUAGUCAUAUGCACUUGAUUUUAUGAGAAAGAACAUUCAGGGGAAUAUAUUUCCAAUUCACUCAAGUCAGGAAGCAAGUGCCACUGAGCUAUAUGGUCCUCUCUCUGAGUUCUUCCCUCAAAUAAGGAUUUGGCAGAAAUACUGGUUUCAUUUAGCAUGUUUCCAGUGGCUACUUUUGCUCUGAAAAAUCUCAGAGCACUUAAGAUAAGAUUUAUCACCCCUGACUUCUUACUUUUGCUGCCAAAACAAUCCACCAUCAGCUUAGGAGAUCAAACUAAUGAAUUAAGCGAGCUCCAGUCUCGUUAUCAGCAUUGUUUUAUGCAAAGAAAUUGAAGCAUAGAAAAAUCGUGACUCUCCCAAGGUCACGUGGGCAGCAAAGAGCUGGGGUAUAGAAUCCCGUUGAUCUGGCUUCCAACUGCGCUGCUGGUGCCCAAGCGGCCUAAUGAAUCAAACAUGAGAGAUUAAAUUUAAAGUCUUUCUUGCUCAGCUCUUUAUGAAAACACUUAUUUAAUGGAGUUUUUGCUCCAUAAGCAAAUGAUAUGCAAGUCCAAAUGUUGACAUGAAGGAAAACUCACUGAAGACAGUCUGAAGGGGUCUGCGUGUCCCAGCUAUCCUGCCUCUGUGGCUGCGUUUCAUUGAUUUCUGAUCUUUAAGUAGUUUUUUUUCACAUGUAGAUACUGCCUUGCCAGAUGGCAGGAAACUGUUAGUUUUAGGAAAGUUUUUAAGUGAGUAAACAUAGUUAAAAUAUUGGGAGACUCGUGAUGGUUAAUUAAAUAUUUUUAGUACUUAAAAAGGAAGUUAGCCCUGUACAAUAUACUUUUGCAGAGCUAAAUUAGAGCAGAGUUAGUAUCUUUCGGUCUUUCCCUCCUCUUAUCACUUAUUUAUCUACAGUAAGAUGAGAGUGAAGGCAUCAUUAACAUACUCAUAUGGAAGAGCUAUCUGUCGUGUCACAGCAGCGUGUCAUAGAAAAACUCAGUGUACUUAUCUGUGAUCAUUUCAGUAUUUCUACACACCAUUGCUCAGACCCUGCAGCCAGCCACCGCCAAGUCUGGUUUAGUCAUGUUCCCUGAAUCUGAGAGUGAACCCAAAGCAGAUGCUUGCAAAGCCUCCGGUUUUAGCUGUGCCGGUAGAAGAGAGAUUCAGUGUAUGGGUAACCCAUUGCCCUUGGGCGUUCAUCUUGCAUAUUGAAGAUGUUUUUAGAGUUACAAAGCAAUAUGUUAAUAUUGAAAAUAGAUUGCUAGUGUUGAGUAAGGCCCCAAUCAUGUCCGUCUUAGGUCUGGGAAAUGGGUGGGUGUUUUUAAUCUCACCAGCGUCAGGGUAUGUCAGCGGAGAAGGGGUGGGGGUAUUAAGACCCAGGAGAGGAUGGUAGCCGACUCUUUCCAGGGUUGUUUCCAUUACACCAACACUUUUCAGUCAGCCAACAUCGGUGGAGUGUAUGCUGUGGGAUACAGAAGGAAGUGGGAGGGUCUUUGCUCUCUGUGAGCUUACUCAGGGAGAGAAAACAUAACAUGACAGUUACAGUGAGGCUUAGUUGAGAGGUGACAGGCAUACUCCCGUGACGACCAGCUGAUGGUGGCCGAUGAAAUAAAUGACCUGAGAGAACAGCAGUGGAAGAAGUGGCAUUAACACCGGGAUGGGGGAGACAUGGAGAGAGGAGGCUUUUCAGUGCUUGUAUUAGAGUGCUAGAAUAUUCCCUAGGCUCGUAGACAGUGUUGGCAUCCAGGAUUUGUUCGUGAGCCAGAGACCAAGGGCCAAGGGUUGGUUAGUAAGCCCCUUCACUCUACUCCUUUAGUCAUGGCCCAGGACUCAUCACUGCACCUUCUGAGUUUUCAUAUUCUCUCUGGACUGUGCUGACGUGGAAACAGCCUUAAUCAGCACACAUACACCCUGGGGGGGAGGGGAGGGCAUGGUCACCUGGAUUAUCUCCAUCAUAUCCUUUCUAUAUCCUGUUUGUAGCUUCUUUUUCUGCUAAAGGUUCUUUUUAAACUACCUCCCUUGGUGUCCUUUCUUUCUGUACCCGUCUUUCUGUUCUCUAUAGAAUGAAGUUUUCCCUCACUUAGCCUCUGUUCAUUUCACCUGCCCCUUCUCUUGCCACUCUUACCCCACUCUGGGAGCGAGAUACGCCUUUGUGGUUGUUUCCUUCACUGCCUACCUGCCCCCUGCCUACUCCACAGUGCACCCCAUCCUGUCUACUUUGCACGGAACACUGAACCUUUAUCAUCCAUCCUCACAGUCAGUCAGUCAGUCAGUCAACACUACAUCUGUUCUCUGCUUCCCUUUGAGCAUCAUUGGUCAUUGUCACCCCCUCCUGCCCUUCUCUGCCACUUGAUUGUGCCCUCCUCAGGGUGUAGAUUGCUUGUCUUUUUGUUCUUCUUUGUAUACUUAUUGCUUGGUUGAGCUCUGGGAAAUGUCCGGGCACCUAACAGAGCCGGUAAAGAUGUAGUCAUUUUCAUGGGAAUGAAUUAACAAAUGGCACAGACGAUAGGAAGUUAGAUAUAUGCCGUGUCUCCUGUUAUCUGAUUAUUAAAUUACAUGCUCUGGACACAUGUACAUAUGAACAGAGCUAAUGGACCCAGUAAACUAUAUGUAUAUACAUACAUGCAUGAAUACAUACAUACAUAUAUGAGUGUAUACAGUAAUAAUUGAAAAGGUCAUGAAUUUGGGAUUGGGAACAUGGAGGACCUGGGGGUGGAGGUGAGGUAGAUGCAGGGCUCAUGUAGGAUGUUCUCCAAAAAUAAAACUAUAUAAGAAAGAAUAAUCAGAAAAAAACUUAAAAGUUAAAAAAAAAUAUUGUAUGCUAGCACUGCCCCUCAGGGGAGCAAGUCCUAAAGCAAAGUUGUAUGGUGAUUUAAAAAAUAAGAAUUUAUUACAUUCCAUUUAGUGAAUUUCUUGGGAACAGCAGAGAACAACUUGAUUUGUUAGAUAGCUUUUUAAGAAAUGGAAAAAAAAAUAUCCCAUUAAAUUUGUAUUUCUAAUGUUGCCCUUAUCCUCUUCAAGAAUAAAGGAAAAAGAAAGAAAUAUCUCGAGUUUUCCUGAUUCACUGAACCUUAACCACAGUGCCUAUCAUAGAUAGCAAUAGUCCUUAUUUACAUGGUGCGAUUGCAUGGUUCCUGUUAGGCCAGAUGCUACUUUGGGCCCUAAUCUCGGAGGCCCUCAUACGGGACUGCUUAGCUGGCGGAAUGUCCGUGCAGUCCGGCUGAAGUCUGAUGGGAGCUGAGCCUUUGUCUUUCAGUGACAAUGAAGCGACAUUCUUGUGGCCUAAAUUCAGGGUUUUGUCUCUGUGCCAACACUUUCAGGCAUUACUCCUUUAAAAAAAUAAAACAGAGUCAGGGACAUUCUGUGAAACCAGCUUCACAGUGAGGAUGUCAUCCUUUAAAAGACUGGAGUCUCCCCACACCCCCCAACUGAUUAGGCCAAGCUAGCUUCCGCCGAUUCCAUUAUUAUCUGCGAUGCUGGUGAAGGUAGCAAAUUCAGGGACAGUACCCCUUGUGAAUGUAUUUUUAGAAUUACCCCUGCUUACAUAAUUUUACAUGGCAGCUAGUAUUUCAAAGGAUUCUGUUUUUAUCACAGACAGUAGAAGAAAUAAAUUGACCCAGUUUAACCAUCUUGUAAAUUAGAAUAUGAAUUAGAUGUGGUGUGUUAAGGGACUAAAUUUGCAUAGAUUGCUUGGAUUGGCACAAUGGAGCAAGUUUUAGAUAGCUUUUAGUACUCAAAACUGUUAUUCCUGGAUUACAGAUAGAGUCUUCCCCCAACCCCAUUUCACUUUCUAUCUAAAUUUAUUAAAAUCAUAAUGGUUUUUUGAAGUAAAACUUUGCAUUUGUUGCAGGACUUUGGGGCCUGCUAUCGUGUAUGGUGUGUGUGUGUGUGUGUCUGUGCACACACUCAUGUUAUACACACAUAUAUUCAUAAGCCCCUGUUCAAUCAUGACAGCCCAGUGGGGAAUACAAUCCUAAUAUCAGUCACAUGGUAUAAAACUCUUCCUUUCAUGGUGCUCGUCUGCUGUUGCUUAGUGUUUUCCUAAGGUGGUGCAGCCAUCACCCCUGUCUAAUGGCAGAAUAUUUUCAUCAUUCCCCCAAAAGGAACUCUGUGCUCAUCAAUCUACUUUCUGUACUAUUGCUACUCUGGACACUUUGUAAACUAACCUCAUACAGUGUUACAGCAUGCAUUGUUACUUCAUUACUUUUUAUGGCUGAAUAAAUUCCAUUGUGUGGAUAGUGAAUAUACCACAUUUUGAAUAGCCAUCCAUCAGCUGACAGAUUUCUGAUUUUCUUUUUCUUUCUUUAAGGUUCAGAGAGCCUAAAGAACAUUAAGAUGCCUUGCCUGCUCCCCACUCCCCCAUACCCACAUACUUCCUUUAGUCAUUCAUGUUUUGUUAGGGACUUCACUGAUCCAGUGCUACAUGGGUAGAUGAUGAGGGAAGAAGUAGCUAGCAGUUCAGGAAAAGCAUAGAUGGACAGAAGAGAUCCAGUGCAGGAGGCUGGAAGGAUUGUGGCUGACUUCGCUGGAGCACAUGGUGGUGGGGAAGAGUAUUGGGACCAGGGCUGGAAAAGUAGGUAGGGCUAGACUACAUAGGGUCUUGAUAACCUUUGGGAUUUUGGUCUUGGACAAAAUGGGGAACUACUGAUGACAAGGCUCGACGUCAGUUUAAUCAAACUCCCAUUUGUAUGGGAUGGGGAAAGAAGAGAGAGUAGGAGAGAUACACCGUACACAGGAUAUGUUAGAAUGCUUUUGUAGUAGGUUACAUGUGAGAGAAAGGUUAAACAAACAACUUUAUUUGACAAACAAAUGUAUAGUUAUUUUUGUGGAAGAUACACUUUUUAACCACAUUACAAGAAUGUUAGCUCAUUUAGUCAUAAAUGCAAGAACUGUUGAAGCGGUAGGAACAUUAAGUCUUGGUUUAGACAUGGAAAGUGCUGGGCCUUGUUAAUGGGGCUCCUCUGAAGCCAUUCCUGUAGGGUAGCUUGCAUUUUCAUAGCCAUCCAUUUCAGUGAUUUAGCUGUUGAGACUGGAUGUAGACUGUAGUGGAAAAUAACCAACCCCUCCUUACUUACUGCCCAGAUAUCCUGUCAUCCCUUCAGAGAAAUCUGUAUUUUAGGAAAUGCAUCCUAGACAAGGAAGCCACCUCAGUGUUCUGCUGGGUGCGAGCUCUUUGUGAUGUGUUCCUGAUAGUGCUGGCUUUCUUCUUUCUUUUUAAUAUCAUUCUAAAUCCUUAAACUAGGCCUACCUUGUUUGAUGAAAUAAGAUUGUGUUUUUAAGAAGAUAGCUGUUUACUUAACUCAUUGAGUGCAUUUUUUUUAACCUGCUAAACUUUAGAAUGAAAUACAAAAUUGGGAAACUCUAACAAGAAUUCAUGGGUGACUAAAACUCUGCAGAAAGUUCAGUAUCGUACCCCUGGGAAAUUUUGAGUGUCUGCUUCAUAAAACAUAGUAUGAUGUGAUGUCCCCUCUCUGUGCCUUCUGUUAAGUUGGUUUAUAGACUGUCUCCUAUCAGAUUCUGGGUCCUUGUGCUAAGGUGUGGAGCCUAGGAGAGUCCUGUUCACUGUCUAGGUGGCUCACCAUCAGCCUGAGGGUUCUACAGACUCCUGUUGGAAUCAUCUAGGUCAGUGGCUCUCAACCUUCCUAAUGCUGCAGCCCCCCCAGCUAUAAAAUUAUUUUCAUUGCUGCUUCAUAAAUGUAAUUUUACUACUGUUAUAGAUCAUAAGGUAAAAUCAUCUGUUUUUUCUGAUGGUCUUGGGUGACCCCUGUGAAAGGUUGUCACGACCCACAGGUUGAGAAUUGCUGUUCUAGGCUGUGAGCAGCUAUGCUUGUGUUGGAGCCUCCACUUCUAGAUCCUGUUUCUUCCUUCACAACCUUCAUUUGUUAGACUCUUUGCUGGGUCACAGUAUCCGCAUAAAGGUGCCUGCUUUGCUCUUGAUGGAAUGUGGGGCCCCUUAAAAAAAGCUAAG